rnacentral:rRNA from 1 species
CAUCAUAUAGACAUAUAUGUCCGCAUUGUUCGGCGUCGAGCCGUCGUAGAAGAGAGGAUUAGGUUUUCACGCGCACGAAGGAACAGCGCAGACAUGCCUCGACUCCUCCUCUACCUGCGGUACCGUCGCGAGCGGUCUUGCCCCGGAAGGGAGCGGCGGCGGCCGGUGUCCUCGAGGCGUUGCAAGGCCGGCAGCCGCAGUGAGAGGAGGAAGCGGAGGCGAAGGAGCUCCUUGGCGCCGGCGCAGCCCGACUCGUGCCGCCCCACGUUGGCCACCCGUUGGUCCCAUCGAGCGCGGUGGGGGUUGGCGUAGCAGCGGAGGAGCCUCCAACUCGUCUGGAUGUAAUACUAGUUUGGACUGCCACAAGUCGCACCAGACCAACCUCUCUAAUAAAGAGCGAAGCUCUUCUUCCCGAAAAACGACUUCCCCGACUUCGAAAAAGUCACGGGGUUUCUGAACCGAGUCCUUGUAAUGUUCCUAGACUUCCUCUCUGGAAAGAAAGGGUUAAAUUAGCUGAUGUAUUGAAGACCUGGACAUCAGACGUACCGGACCCUCCCACUACCACAACAACGCAGUCGAGCGUUUGACUAGCCUCGAUGAUUGGGGGAAGUUCGACUCGGUCCCUGGUAUUCCCCACUAGAACGUCAAGUUUGUCCUUCCUUACAGCAGGUGCCUUCACUGUCGGGACUAUUGCCGUUCGCUCUUUAGCCUAAUACCAAGUUUCUCCCACUCGAACGAGUUACCCUUAGUCAAGUUUGUGGGACCGAAUAUCUCACUAGAAACGUAUAGUCAAUAGUGACGUUCUUGGACUAGGUUAUGAAUAAACCAGUUGAACUAAGACUCCCCGGUACAUACAUACUCAAAUGAAGAUGGUUCAUUUCAUCGGACAGUCCCGAAGUUUUAAAAGUGGUAACGAGUGGACAUACAAGAAAGAAAGAAACAUUUACAACUCGCCCAAGUCUUGAGACCGGAAACCAGUCAUAUUUAGAAGGACAACUCUUGAAAGAAGAUGAGCCUACAAUUACAAAACUACUUCUUAGUUACGUUUUUUCAAGGUUCCGCACCUGUGGCAUA